AUGUCGCGGCUGGACGGCAACACCGACCUGGACGGCGUCGCCAGGCGCCUCAGCUUCUCCUCCGCCUCCCCGGGCCAGCUGCCGCCCCUCCCGCCCCGGACCAACCGGAGGCAGCCGGCUCUCCCGCCGAUCGCGGAGGACCCAGGGGAGCAGCAGGCGUCGGCGUCGUCGACGACGCAGACGCCCCCGUCGUCGCAGGCGCCUCGCGCGACGACGCGCGGGAGGUUCACGGUCUACACGGAGGCACCGCAGUCCGCGCCCCACACGCAGGCGCCCCCCGCACCCCCCGCGGCGUCGACGUCACCGCUCGAGACGCAGCAGGCGACCCCCGCACCCCCCGCGGCGUCGACGUCGCCGCUCGAGACGCAGCAGGCGGUCGCGGCCGCGUUGGGCCGAUUGGAGCAGCAACGCCAGGCCGGGCUGCAGCAGGCGUCGGUGGCGGCGCAGCAGCAGCAGGCAUUCGUGGCCGCGUACGAGGGAUGGGAGCGGGGGCGUCAAGCCGGGCCGCAGCAGCAGCCGUGGGCGGCGGCGUGGACGCAACUGGGGCAGGGUCGUUCACCGUGGCCGCAUCAGGCGUGGGCGCAGCCGCAGCCGGAGCAGCAGCAGCAGCAGGUGAGGCUGUACACGGCGGAAGGGGAACCGGCGGGGUACGCGACCAAGUGGGAGGAGCUCCAUCCGGUGUCCCAGCACCUUCUCCUGCAAAUCGAGGACAAGAUAAAGGAUGAGAGGCGUGCGUGUGAGCAGUUGGAACAAUGCAGGCGCCUCAGCGACCCGUCAGUCUCCAACAAGGGUUUUGAACUGGAUGCUCGUCAGAUUACCCAGGAGAUUGGGUUAAUCUCCACCAUCAUCGACAGGGAGAAGGCUCCCAUUCAGAGCUUAAUGGCUGAUAUCAGAGAAAUAAUGUCGCAUGUGGAUUUUGCUAUAUGUGCAUAUGCAGAAGUGAGACGAAGGUUCGUCAGCGGAGGUGCUGAACUUGCAUAUUGUGCUGGAUCUUCAAGCGCUCCUACUGAUUUCAGCCGGCACUCGACAAUGGCCCGAACCUUUCGUAACUGUUAUGCUUCUGUAUAUCGGCCUUCUCUCUUUAUGCAACACAUUGUUGAAAGAUUUGAGAAGCAGCUUGAAGAAUGUUGCAAAUCGAUUGGAGAGCUAGAGCAGCUUGUUCAAACGAAGAAUGAUAAGACCCAUCCAGCUUCUUUGAAAUCUCUGCCAAAAGUUAUGGCGAAUGUGCAGGAUUAUCUUAUCUAUGUUGCUUCUAAGGUGGAAAAUCUUCAUCAACAUGCCGAAACAUUAAGAACUCAAUAUCUUAAUGAUCUGCGAAACUGUGGUAACUGGAAUGAUCCAUUUGUUGAAGCGGAUAGAAAAGAGGCAGCGAAACAAGAAGCUGCUGCCAGAAUAGUCCAUCCAACAUUGCCUGUAACUAGUGGUAACACCCGAAGCAGGCGCCAGAUGUGUAAUUGA
rnacentral:rRNA from 1 species